GGCAAGAUGGCCGAGCGGUCUAAGGCGCCACGUUAAGGUUAACCCUUAAUCUGAGUUAAAUACUCUGUUCCGUGGUCCGAAAGGGCGUGGGUUCGAAUCCCACUCUUGUCA
rnacentral:tRNA from 2 species